rnacentral:rRNA from 1 species
GACGAACGCUGGCGGCGUGCUUAACACACGCAAGUCGAACGGAAAGGCCCUGCUUUUGUGGGGUGCUCGAGUGGCGAACGGGUGAGUAACACGUGAGUAACCUGCCCUUGACUUUGGGAUAACUUCAGGAAACUGGGGCUAAUACCGGAUAGGAGCUCCUGCUGCAUGGUGUGGGUUGGAAAGUUUCGGCGGUUGGGGAUGGACUCGCGGCUUAUCAGCUUGUUGGUGGGGUAGUGGCUUACCAAGGCUUUGACGGGUAGCCGGCCUGAGAGGGUGACCGGCGACAUUGGGACUGAGAUACGGCCCAGACUCCUACGGGAGGCAGCAGUGGGGAAUAUUGCACAAUGGGCGGAAGCCUGAUGCAGCAACGCCGCGUGCGGGAUGACGGCCUUCGGGUUGUAAACCGCUUUCGCCUGUGACGAAGCGUGAGUGACGGUAAUGGGUAAAGAAGCACCGGCUAACUACGUG